rnacentral:rRNA from 1 species
GACGAACGCUGGCGGCGUGCCUAAUACAUGCAAGUAGAACGCUGAAGGAGGAGCUUGCUUCUCUGGAUGAGUUGCGAACGGGUGAGUAACGCGUAGGUAACCUGCCUGGUAGCGGGGGAUAACUAUUGGAAACGAUAGCUAAUACCGCAUAAGAGUAGAUGUCGCAUGACAUUUGCUUAAAAGGUGCAAUUGCAUCACUACCAGAUGGACCUGCGUUGUAUUAGCUAGUUGGUGAGGUAACGGCUCACCAAGGCAACGAUACAUAGCCGACCUGAGAGGGUGAUCGGCCACACUGGGACUGAGACACGGCCCAGACUCCUACGGGAGGCAGCAGUAGGGAAUCUUCGGCAAUGGACGGAAGUCUGACCGAGCAACGCUGCGUGAGUGAAGAAGGUUUUCGGAUCGUAAAGCUCUGUUAUAAGAGAAGAACGAGUGUGAGAGUGGAAAGUUCACACUGUGACGGUAUCUUACCAGAAAGAGACGGCUAACUACGUG